rnacentral:rRNA from 1 species
GACGAACGCUGGCGGCGUGCUUAACACAUGCAAGUCGAACGAAGAGCGAUGGAAGCUUGCUUCUAUCAAUCUUAGUGGCGAACGGGUGAGUAACGCGAAAUCAACCUGCCCUUCAGAGGGGGACAACAGUUGGAAACGAAUGCUAAUACCGCAUACGAUCCGACCUCGGCAUCGAGUAUGGAUGAAAGGUGGCCUCUAUUUAUAAUCUAUCACUGAAGGAGGGGAUUGCGUCUGAUUAGCUAGUUGGAGGGGUAACGGCCCACCAAGGCAAUGAUCAGUAGCCGGUCUGAGAGGAUGAACGGCCACAUUGGGACUGAGACACGGCCCAGACUCCUACGGGAGGCAGCAGUGGGGAAUCUUCCGCAAUGGACGAAAGUCUGACGGAGCAACGCCGCGUGAGUGAUGACGGCCUUCGGGUUGUAAAGCUCUGUUAAUCGGGACGAAAGGUCUUCUUGCGAAUAGUUAGAAGAAUUGACGGUACCGGAAUAGAAAGCCACGGCUAACUACGUG